GACGAACGCUGGCGGCGCGCCUAACACAUGCAAGUCGAACGAGAGAGAAGGAGCUUGCUUCUUCGAUCGAGUGGCGAACGGGUGAGUAACGCGUGAGGAACCUGCCUCAAAGAGGGGGACAACAGUUGGAAACGACUGCUAAUACCGCAUAAGCCCACGGGUCGGCAUCGACCUGAGGGAAAAGGAGCAAUCCGCUUUGAGAUGGCCUCGCGUCCGAUUAGCUAGUUGGUGAGGUAAUGGCCCACCAAGGCAACGAUCGGUAGCCGGACUGAGAGGUUGAACGGCCACAUUGGGACUGAGACACGGCCCAGACUCCUACGGGAGGCAGCAGUGGGGAAUAUUGCACAAUGGGGGAAACCCUGAUGCAGCGACGCCGCGUGGAGGAAGAAGGUCUUCGGAUUGUAAACUCCUGUUGUUGAGGAAGAUAAUGACGGUACUCAACAAGGAAGUGACGGC
rnacentral:rRNA from 1 species